GUGGGCCAGGGGAGCAGGUGGGAGCAAGCCAACUAGCAUUCCCGGGGGCUUAUGUCUCACCAUGACCCUGAUCCCACUAG
rnacentral:miRNA from 1 species